rnacentral:lncRNA from 1 species
CUUGUACAAAUACUUUGUACAAGUAAUAACUUGUAUGAUGCCACCAUACAAGUUAUAACAUGUACAAAUAUAACUAUACAAGUAAUUACUUGUACAAUUUUUGUGAAGAAAAAGAUAAUAACUUGUACAACUCACUAUCUUUGAGUUGUAUUUGUAACUUCUUCUGUUUCAAAUGUUUUAUUCAAACACUCCUUUUUUUGGCUUUGUUAGUUUGGGAUAUUUUUGUCAUUUGUCACGGUUUUUAUUUCAUGUUUGUUUAUUUUUUCUUAGUAGAUAUCACUCAGUGUAUGUAUUUUGAAAUUUUAUAUAGUUUUUUUUUUCUUUCAAGUGUUUGUGUUGAUUUUGAAAUGUUAGAAGAUUUCAUACGAAUGCAAUAAUAACAUAAGCUAACAUGACACCUUGGGCAAAUUUAGCCAAACAGAUAUACAUUUGCCUGUUUUACAGCCACCCCGACAUGGCCAUGGCCACCAUUUGCAAUUGCAAUUGUUCUGCUUUCCUGAUGUUAACUUCAAUUAUUUAGUGAGAGAACAUCAUCUAUAUAGCAGAAAGUAAAGUUACAGGAUACUGCUAACUUCUUUUCUUUCUUCUUAAGAAGUUCCCUUAAGAAGUCAGCCUCAGAAGAAUAAAGUAACAAGUAGGCAGGAAAAUGGUCACAGUUUGU